rnacentral:rRNA from 1 species
UACGUAGGGUGCUAGCGUUGUCCGGAUUUAUUGGGCGUAAAGGGCUCGUAGGCGGCCAACUAAGUCCGACGUGAAAUCCCCAGGCUUAACCUGGGAACUGCGUCGGAUACUGGAUGGCUUGAAUUCGGGAGAGGGAUGCAGAAUUCCAGGUGUAGCGGUGAAAUGCGUAGAUAUCUGGAGGAAUACCGGUGGCGAAGGCGGCAUCCUGGACCGACAUUGACGCUGAUGAGCGAAAGCUAGGGGAGCAAACGGG